AUUUAUAUAGUUUAAAAAACAUUACAUUUUCACUGUAAAGAAAAAGAAAAACUAUUUCUUUUAUAAAUU
rnacentral:tRNA from 1 species